rnacentral:rRNA from 1 species
CAGGCCUAACACAUGCAAGUCGAGCGGGGAAGGGUAGCUUGCUACCUAACCUAGCGGCGGACGGGUGAGUAAUGCUUAGGAAUCUGCCAUUUAGUGGGGGACAACAUUCCGAAAGGAAUGCUAAUACCGCAUACGUCCUACGGGAGAAAGCAGGGGAUCUUCGGACCUUGCGCUAAAUGAUGAGCCUAAGUCGGAUUAGCUAGUUGGUGGGGUAAAGGCCUACCAAGGCGACGAUCUGUAGCGGGUCUGAGAGGAUGAUCCGCCACACUGGGACUGAGACACGGCCCAGACUCCUACGGGAGGCAGCAGUGGGGAAUAUUGGACAAUGGGCGGAAGCCUGAUCCAGCCAUGCCGCGUGUGUGAAGAAGGCCUUAUGGUUGUAAAGCACUUUAAGCGAGGAGGAGGCUACUUAGAUUAAUACUCUAGGAUAGUGGACGUUACUCGCAGAAUAAGCACCGGCUAACUCUGUGCCAGCAGCCGCGGUAAU